rnacentral:lncRNA from 1 species
UAUUGGUAGAAGGAAGGAAGAUGGAAAUGGGAGGUACGGUGAAAAUUUCAGUUGCGUAGGUGUAGUGUGAGUUGUAAAUUGUUUGCAGGUUGCGGAGUCCGUAGGUGGCGUGAUGGAGCUGAGAGGUGGAGGUAGGCAGUGGAGUAUGUGACUGUUCAGUACGUUCGCGGAGGAGGCCGUGGGAAGGGAGAGGAUGGCGACGUUUGGGGCGUACGAGAAAUCCGUGGGAGAGAGCGAAGGUUGUGAGA